rnacentral:rRNA from 1 species
UACGGGGGGGGCAAGCGUUGUUCGGAAUUACUGGGCGUAAAGGGCCAGUAGGCGGCCAACUAAGUCCGACGUGAAAUCCCAAGGCUUAACCUUGGAACUGCGUCGGAUACUGGAUGGCUUGAAUUCGGGAGAGGGAUGCAGAAUUCCAGGUGUAGCGGUGAAAUGCGUAGAUAUCUGGAGGAAUACCGGUGGCGAAGGCGGCAUCCUGGACCGACAUUGACGCUGAGGAGCGAAAGCCAGGGGAGCAAACGGG